rnacentral:rRNA from 1 species
GAGUUUGAUCCUGGCUCAGAUUGAACGCUGGCGGCAGGCCUAACACAUGCAAGUCGAGCGGAUGACGGGAGCUUGCUCCUUGAUUCAGCGGCGGACGGGUGAGUAAUGCCUAGGAAUCUGCCUGGUAGUGGGGGACAACGUUUCGAAAGGAACGCUAAUACCGCAUACGUCCUACGGGAGAAAGCAGGGGACCUUCGGGCCUUGCGCUAUCAGAUGAGCCUAGGUCGGAUUAGCUAGUUGGUGAGGUAAUGGCUCACCAAGGCGACGAUCCGUAACUGGUCUGAGAGGAUGAUCAGUCACACUGGAACUGAGACACGGUCCAGACUCCUACGGGAGGCAGCAGUGGGGAAUAUUGGACAAUGGGCGAAAGCCUGAUCCAGCCAUGCCGCGUGUGUGAAGAAGGUCUUCGGAUUGUAAAGCACUUUAAGUUGGGAGGAAGGGCAGUAAGUUAAUACCUUGCUGUUUUGACGUUACCGACAGAAUAAGCACCGGCUAACUCUGUGCCAGCAGCCGCGGUAAUACAGAGGGUGCAAGCGUUAAUCGGAAUUACUGGGCGUAAAGCGCGCGUAGGUGGUUCGUUAAGUUGGAUGUGAAAGCCCCGGGCUCAACCUGGGAACUGCAUCCAAAACUGGCGAGCUAGAGUAUGGUAGAGGGUGGUGGAAUUUCCUGUGUAGCGGUGAAAUGCGUAGAUAUAGGAAGGAACACCAGUGGCGAAAGCGACCACCUGGACUGAUACUGACACUGAGUGCGAAAGCGUGGGGAGCAAACAGGAUUAGAUACCCUGGUAGUCCACGCCGUAAACGAUGUCAACUAGCCGUUGGAAUCCUUGAGAUUUUAGUGGCGCAGCUAACGCAUUAAGUUGACCGCCUGGGGAGUACGCCG